UACAGAGGUCUCAAGCGUUGUUCGGAUUCAUUGGGCGUAAAGGGUGCGUAGGUGGCGCCGUAAGUCGGGUGUGAAAUCCCGGGGCUCAACCCUGGCAUGGCAUUGAAUACUGGAGGACUAGAGUACCGGAGAGGAAACUGGAAUUUACGGUGUAGCAGUGAAACGCGUAGAGAUCGUAAGGAAGACCAGUGGCGAAGGCGAGUUUCUGGACGGUAACUGACGCUGAGGCACGAAGGCCAGGGGAGCAAACGGG
rnacentral:rRNA from 1 species